rnacentral:rRNA from 1 species
UAGGGAAUCUUCCGCAAUGGACGAAAGUCUGACGGAGCAACGCCGCGUGAGUGAAGAAGGAUUUCGGUUCGUAAAACUCUGUUGUUAGGGAAGAAAAAAUGUAUAGUAACUAUAUACAAAAGAGACGGUACCUAACCAGAAAGCCACGGCUAACUACGUGCCAGCAGCCGCGGUAAUACGUAGGUGGCAAGCGUUGUCCGGAAUUAUUGGGCGUAAAGAGCGCGCAGGUGGUUUAGAAAGUCUGAUGUGAAAGCCCACGGCUCAACCGUGGAGGGUCAUUGGAAACUAAUAAACUUGAGUGCAGGAGAGAAAAGUGGAAUUCCUAGUGUAGCGGUGAAAUGCGUAGAGAUUAGGAGGAACACCGGUGGCGAAAGCGGCUUUUUGGCCUGCAACUGACACUGAGGCGCGAAAGCGUGGGGAGCAAACAGG